UGUGUGGAAAGGUGUGUUCACAGCACAGA
rnacentral:piRNA from 1 species